GGCAAGAUGGCCGAGCGGUUAAGGCGCUAGCUUCAGGUGCUAGUAGAGUAAUCUGCGUGGGUUCGAGUAAGUUAUGCAUCACUUGUUU